rnacentral:rRNA from 1 species
AACGAACGCUGGCGGCAGGCCUAACACAUGCAAGUCGAGCGGACAUCUUCGGACGUUAGCGGCGGACGGGUGCGUAACGCGUGGGAACGUGCCCUUUGCUUCGGAAUAGUCUCGGGAAACUGGGAGUAAUACCGGAUGUACCCUUUGGGGGAAAGAUUUAUCGGCAAAGGAUCGGCCCGAGUUGGCUUAGGUAGUUGGUGGGGUAAUGGCCUACCAACCCGACAAUCCAUAGAUGGUUUGAGAGGAUGAUCAGCCACACUGGGACUGAGACACGACACAGACUCCUACGGGAGGCAGCAGGGGGUAAUCGUAGAAAACGGGGGAAACCAUGAACUAGCCAUGCCGCGAGAACGAUGAAGGCCGUAGGGAUGUAAAGCGCAUUCAACGGGGAAGAUAAUGACGGUACCCGGAGAAGAAGCCCCGGCUAACUCCGUG